rnacentral:rRNA from 1 species
CAAAAGUCGUGCACGCCGGAGCAUGUCCUCUCUCUCACAUAAAAUCCAUCUCACCCUUUUGUGCACCACCGCGCGGGCACCCUUUGGGAUGCUUGCGUUUUCACACAAACCCCUUUUAAAAAAGUGUAGAAUGACCCCACUUUGCGAUGACACGCAAUAAAUACAACUUUCAACAACGGAUCUCUUGGCUCUCGCAUCGAUGAAGAACGCAGCGAAAUGCGAUACGUAAUGUGAAUUGCAGAAUUCAGUGAAUCAUCGAAUCUUUGAACGCACCUUGCGCCCCUUGGUAUUCCGAGGGGCACACCCGUUUGAGUGUCGUGAAAAUCUCAACCUUCUCGGUUUUCUUCUGGACACCGAAGGAGGCUUGGACUUUGGAGGCCUUUGCUGGCGUCUCUCUAGAGCCAGCUCCUCUUAAAUGAAUUAGCGGGGUCCUCUUUGCCGAUCCUUGACAUGUGAUAAGAUGUUUCCAUGACUCGGUUUCUGGCUCUGUUGCAUUUGGGACCUGCUUCUAACCGUCUCGACGAGACGAUGUUUGGGAGUGUCUCCCUUCUCGGGAGACUCUCUCGACCCCACGAACC